rnacentral:rRNA from 1 species
UACGUAGGGUGCGAGCGUUGUCCGGAAUUAUUGGGCGUAAAGGGCUCGUAGGCGGUCUGUCGCGUCGAAAGUGAAAACCCAGGGCUUAACCCUGGGCCUGCUUCCGAUACGGGCAGACUAGAGGUAUGCAGGGGAGAACGGAAUUCCUGGUGUAGCGGUGAAAUGCGCAGAUAUCAGGAGGAACACCCGUGGCGAAGGCGGGUCUCUGGGCAGUAACUGACGCUGAGGAGCGAAAGCGUGGGGAGCGAACAGG